CAGGGGAGGGAGGAGCCUGCGCGGGGCUCGUGUUCGCCCAGGAAUCCCGGAGAAGCUCGAAGACGGUCUGGUGUUGAACGCACACGUGGACUCCAUUUCAUUACCACCUUGCAGCUCUUGCGCCACGGAGGCUGCUGCUGCCCGGCGGCUGCUACCCACCGAGACCCACGUGGCCCCUCCCCAGGGGUGUAGGGGUGACGGUUGUCUUCUGGUGACAGCAGAGGUGUUGGGUUUGCGACUGAUCUCUAACGAGCUUGAGGCGCAAACCUAGGAUUCCCUGAGUGUUGGGGUGCGGCGGGGGGGCAAGCAAGGUGGGACGACGCCUGCCUGGUUUCCCUGACUAGUUGCGGGGGGUGGGGGCCGGCUCUCAGGGGCCACCAGAAGCUGGGUGGGUGUACAGGAAAAUAUUUUUCUCCUGCCGUGUUUGGCUUUUUCCUGGCAUUUUUGCCCAGGGCGAAGAACUGUCGCGCGGGGCAGCUCCACCGCGGAGGGAGAGGGGUCGCGAGGCUGGCGCGGGAAGCGCUGUAGGUGGCAGUCAUCCGUCCACGCCGCACAGGCCGUCUGCGCCGUCGGACCAUCGGGAGGUCUGGGCUGCCGGGGGAGGCCGAGCGGCUGCUGCAGCCUCCCUGCUGCCAGGGGCGUCGGACUCCGCUUCGCUCACUACGCCCAGGCCCCUCAGGGGCCCACGCUCAGGACUUCGGGGCCACACAGCAGGACCCGGUGCCCCGACGACGAGUUUGCGCAGGACCCGGGCUGGGCCAGCCGCGGAGCUGGGGAGGAAGGGGCGGGGGUCGGUGCAGCGGAUCUUUUCUGUUGCUGCCUGUGCGGCGGCAGGAAGCGUCUUGAGGCUCCCCAAGACUACCUGAGGGGCCGCCCAAGCACUUCAGAAGCCCAAGGAGCCCCCGGCCACCCCCGCUCCUGGCCUUUUUGCCAACGACUUUGAAAGUGAAAUGCACAAGCACCAGCAAUUGACUUCCCUUCCGUGGUUAUUUAUUUUGUCUUUGUGGAUGGUGGGCAGAUGGGGAGAGAGGCCCCUACCUAACCUCGGUGGCUGGUCCCUAGACCACCCCUGCCAGCCGGUGUGGGGAGGAGCUCAGGUCCGCGGGAGAGCGAAUGGGCGCCAGGAGGUGGGACAGAAUCCUGGGAAGGUACAGCGGACGCCCUGGAAGCUCCCCUGAUGCCCCAGAGGGCCCUUCCUGGGAAACCUCCCGGGGGGGUGCCCCAUACCAUCCCACCCGGCUGUCUUGGCCCCUCCCAGGGAGCCGCAGGAGAAACUAGCCCUACACCUGGGAUUCCCAGAGCCUUCUGCUGGGGCUCCUGCCCCCGACUUCGGAUAACCAGCUCCGCACAGGUCCCCGAGAAGGGCCGCUGGCCUGCUUAUUUGAUACUGCCCCCUCCCAGACAGGGGCUGGUCGAGCCCCUGGUUCUGCUGCCAGACUGAAGCCUUCCAGACGCCACCUCGGUUUGGGCCCCCAGGGCCCUCAGGGGCCCCAGGAGAGGAGAGCUGCUAUCUAGCUCAGCCACAGGCUCG
rnacentral:lncRNA from 1 species